rnacentral:lncRNA from 1 species
CUCUUCCUUCCUUCUUGUGUCCUCCAGGCCUGACUCCCCCGCAGAGGAGAAGCAAAACAAUUUCUUAGAAGCAAAUGAAUCAAUUCACCAUUUCUUGAAGCUGCAGAGUUCUAUAGCUGGCUUGGGGCAAUGGAGCAUAAACAAAUGACGUCACUAGAUCCACCAGCCAUUCAUUCAAGCUGUGGACAGAGCCCAGCGGCCGCAGCACCGGACAACUGAGUGCCUGGGGAGGCUCAGCCCUGACAGCCCCUGCA